rnacentral:rRNA from 1 species
AUUGAACGCUGGCGGCAUGCCUUACACAUGCAAGUCGAACGGUAACAGGUCUUCGGAUGCUGACGAGUGGCGAACGAGUGAGUAAUACAUCGGAACGUGCCCGAUCGUGGGGGAUAACGGAGCGAAAGCUUUGCUAAUACCGCAUACGAUCUACGGAUGAAAGCAGGGGACCGCAAGGCCUUGCGCGGACGGAGCGGCCGAUGGCAGAUUAGGUAGUUGGUGGGAUAAAAGCUUACCAAGCCGACGAUCUGUAGCUGGUCUGAGAGGACGACCAGCCACACUGGGACUGAGACACGGCCCAGACUCCUACGGGAGGCAGCAGUGGGGAAUUUUGGACAAUGGGCGAAAGCCUGAUCCAGCCAUGCCGCGUGCAGGAUGAAGGCCUUCGGGUUGUAAACUGCUUUUGUACGGAACGAAAAGACUCUUUCUAAUAAAGAGGGUCCAUGACGGUACCGUAAGAAUAAGCACCGGCUAACUACGUG